rnacentral:rRNA from 1 species
AGUGGGGAAUAUUGGACAAUGGGCGCAAGCCUGAUCCAGCAAUGCCGCGUGUGUGAAGAGGGCCCUCGGGUUGUAAAGCACUUUUAUCAGGAACGAAAUACCACGGGUCAAUACCCUGUGGGGCUGACGGUACCUGAGGAAUAAGCACCGGCUAACUUCGUGCCAGCAGCCGCGGUAAUACGAAGGGUGCAAGCGUUAAUCGGAAUUACUGGGCGUAAAGGGUGCGUAGGCGGUUGUUUAAGUCUGUCGUGAAAUCCCCGGGCUCAACCUGGGAAUGGCGAUGGAUACUGGACAGCUAGAGUGUGUCAGAGGAUGGUGGAAUUCCCGGUGUAGCGGUGAAAUGCGUAGAGAUCGGGAGGAACAUCAGUGGCGAAGGCGGCCAUCUGGGACAACACUGACGCUGAAGCACGAAAGCGUGGGGAGCAAACAGGAUUAGAUACCCUGGUAGUCCACGCCCUAAACGAUGCGAACUGGAUGUUGGUCUCAACUCGGAGAUCAGUGUCGAAGCUAACGCGUUAAGUUCGCCGCCUGGGGAGUACGGUCGCAAGA